UCCUGGCUUAGGACGAACGCUGGCGGCGUGCUUCAUACAUGCAAGUCGAACGAGAAGCUGACUUCGGUCAGUGGAAAGUGGCGGACGGGUGAGUAAUAUGUAGAGAAUCUGCCCUUGAGUGGGGGACAACAGAGGGAAACUUCUGCUAAUACCCCAUAUGAGCUAACUUGAAAUAGUUAUCUUGAAAACUCCGGUGCUCAAGGAUGAGUCUGCAUCUGAUUAGCUAGUUGGCGGUGUAAUGGACCACCAAGGCGACGAUCAGUAGCUGGUUUGAGAGGAUGAUCAGCCACAAUGGGACUGAGACACGGCCCAUACUCCUACGGGAGGCAGCAGUAGGGAAUUUUGCGCAAUGGGCGAAAGCCCUGACGCAGCAACGCCGCGUGAACGAUUAAGCCCUUCGGGGUGUAAAGUUCUGUCAGUAGGGACGAAUUUUGACGGUACCUACAGAGGAAGCACCGGCUAACUCCGUGCCAGCCGCCGC
rnacentral:rRNA from 1 species